CAGUUGCCACGGGAAUACGAAGGGGGCUAGCGUUGCUCGGAAUCACUGGGCGUAAAGGGAGCGUAGGCGGACCGUUUAGUCAGGGGUGAAAUCCCGGGGCUCAACCUCGGAACUGCCUUUGAUACUGGCGAUCUUGAGUAUGGGAGAGGUGUGUGGAACUCCGAGUGUAGAGGUGAAAUUCGUAGAUAUUCGGAAGAACACCAGUGGCGAAGGCGACACACUGGCCCAUUACUGACGCUGAGGCUCGAAAGCGUGGGGAGCAAACAGGAUUAGAGACCCCCGUAGUCCCUGUCUCUUAUAC
rnacentral:rRNA from 1 species